CCUUGACAAGUCUUGUCGAGGAAAAGUGCCUGAAGGGGUUUGUCGAAUUCCACCUUCCAGUUUCGCUCCGUCCUUCUGCGCAGCAGCAAUUGGUCGCAUUUUUUUUAUUAUUUCCCUCUUCCGUCCGUCUACAGGAUGAAAUGAGGUGAAGGAAGGAGAGGCAGAAGGAGAGGGGGAUGAAUAGCCGAAGGGAUAGGUGAAUAACGACGCAAGAAACACCCACCCCCAGUUUUAGUCUGUACUGACUGACGGAAUAGGAGCCUGAGAGAGCGUGAGACAGACAAGGGAGACAGACAGACACUCUGGGGAUUGAGAGGAUCCGCGGGGAAUAGGAGCGUUUAGGAUUUGAUGUAUUGUGCAGAAGGAGCAUCACAGUUGUAAGGAUGCUGGUUGUAGGACUCCCAAUAAGGACGUGGUGUCCUCUGCUCUUCCUGGUGUUGGCUGUACAUUUCCCAGCUCCUGCCCAGGGUCAAGUUCCGGCUCCCAGAAGAUUACGUUUUAAAGUCCUGG